AGAGUUUGAUCCUGGCUCAGGACGAACGCUGGCGGCGUGCUUAACACAUGCAAGUCGAACGGAAAGGCCCUGCUUUUGUGGGGUGCUCGAGUGGUGAACGGGUGAGUAACACGUGAGUAACCUGCCCUUGACUUUGGGAUAACUUCAGGAAACUGGGGCUAAUACCGGAUAGGAGCUCCUGCUGCAUGGUGGGGGUUGGAAAGUUUCGGCGGUUGGGGAUGGACUCGCGGCUUAUCAGCUUGUUGGUGGGGUAGUGGCUUACCAAGGCUUUGACGGGUAGCCGGCCUGAGAGGGUGACCGGCCACAUUGGGACUGAGAUACGGCCCAGACUCCUACGGGAGGCAGCAGUGGGGAAUAUUGCACAAUGGGCGGAAGCCUGAUGCAGCAACGCCGCGUGCGGGAUGACGGCCUUCGGGUUGUAAACCGCUUUCGCCUGUGACGAAGCGUGAGUGACGGUAAUGGGUAAAGAAGCACCGGCUAACUACGUGCCAGCAGCCGCGGUGAUAACGUAGGGUGCGAAGCGUUGUCCGGAUUUAUUGGGCGUAAAGGGCUCGUAGGUGGUUGAUCGCGUCGGAAGUGUAAUCUUGGGGCUUAACCCUGAGCGUGCUUUCGAUACGGGUUGACUUGAGGAAGGUAGGGGAGAAUGGAAUUCCUGGUGGAGCGGUGGAAUGCGCAGAUAUCACGAGGAACACCAGUGGCGAAAGCGGUUCUCUGGGCCUUUCCUGACGCUGAGGAGCGAAAGCGUGGGGAGCGAACAGGCUUAGAUACCCUGGUAGUCCACGCUGUAAACGGUGGGUACUAGGUGUGGGGUCCAUUCCACGGGUUCCGUGCCGUAGCUAACGCUUUAAGUACCCCGCCUGGGGAGUACGGCCGCAAGGCUAAAACUCGAAGGAAUUGACGGGGCCCCGCACAAGCGGCGGAGCAUGCGGAUUAAUUCGAUGCAACGCGUAGAACCUUACCUGGGUUUGACAUGGAUCGGGAGCGCUCAGAGAUGGGUGUGCCUCUUUUGGGGUCGGUUCACAGGUGGUGCAUGGCUGUCGUCAGCUCGUGUCGUGAGAUGUUGGGUUAAGUCCCGCAACGAGCGCAACCCUUGUUCACUGUUGCCAGCACGUUAUGGUGGGGACUCAGUGGAGACCGCCGGGGUCAACUCGGAGGAAGGUGGGGAUGACGUCAAGUCAUCAUGCCCCUUAUGUCCAGGGCUUCACGCAUGCUACAAUGGCUGGUACAGAGAGUGGCGAGCCUGUGAGGGUGAGCGAAUCUCGGAAAGCCGGUCUCAGUUCGGAUUGGGGUCUGCAACUCGACCUCAUGAAGUCGGAGUCGCUAGUAAUCGCAGAUCAGCAACGCUGCGGUGAAUACGUUCCCGGGGCUUGUACACACCGCCCGUCAAGUCAUGAAAGUUGGUAACACCCGAAGCCGGUGGCCUAACCGUUGUGGGGGAGCCGUCGAAGGUGGGACUGGUGAUUAGGACUAAGUCGUAACAAGGUAACCGU
rnacentral:rRNA from 1 species